GAACUCUCUUCAACAAAGCAAGUUGGGAAUACGAUUAUUUUGUAUACGGUUUUUUUUACACCGAUAUUAGGCAACAAAAUAAAACCAGUUGUCGGGCUUGUGGCGAUAAUCCUAGUGCUGCUUGUGUUGACGGAAAUUUCAGACUCCCUCGUCUUGAAUCAGCAAGCAAAGGAUACGAUGAGUCUUUGUUAAAAAUGCAGUGAUCGCAAAAGACGAACAGGUUAAUUCUCACAUCAAACAAAUUGAUGAAGACAUCGUUCCGGAGCGUCAGAAAAAUCCUUGCGGUGGCAAUGUUUUUAAAGCAGCUAAAGAUAGCUCGACGAACAAAAAGCACCUUGACGAGACGGGUCUUAUUAUGGCUUGUUGUCGUCAUCUCAUUAUUUUGCAAGCGGUCAAUAUUUUUGUAGGCGAAACGUAUCGUCACGGGCACUA